AGGUAAAACUCCAUGGAGGGCCGAACCGACCUCCGUUGAAAAGGCGGCGGAUGAGGUGUGGAUAGCGGAGAAAUUCCAAUCGAACCCGGAGAUAGCUGGUUCUCCCCGAAAUAGCUUUAGGGCUAGCGUCGAGGUAAGUUGCGUGAAGGUAGAGCACUGAAUAUGUGAUGGCCCCAUCUCGGGGUACUGAGCAUAAUCAAACUGCGAAUGUCACGCCAACAUGCUCGGCAGUCAGACAGCGGGUGAUAAGGUCCGUUGUCAAGAGGGAAACAGCCCAGACCAUCAGCUAAGGUCCCAAAAUGUAUGCUAAGUGGAAAAGGAUGUGGAGAUGUACAGACAACUAGGAGGUUGGCUCAGAAGCAGCCAUCCUUUAAAGAGUGCGUAACAGCUCACUAGUCGAAUGACUCUGCGCCGAUAAUUUACCGGGGCUAAGCAUACUACCGAAGCUAUGGAUCCCAAGGGAUGGUAGGGGAGCGUUCCAUGAACGGAGAAGUACGACCGAAAGGACGUGUGGAGAUCAUGGAAGAGAGAAUGCCGGUGUGAGUAGCGGAACGUGGGUGAGAAUCCCACGCACCGAAAACCCAAGGUUUCCAGAGGAAGGUUCGUCCGCUCUGGGUAAGUCGGGACCUAAGGCGAGGCCGAAAGGCGUAGUCGAUGGACAACAGGUAGAGAUUCCUGUACCCGUAUAUAUGUGAAGGAAUGACGGAGAGAGGAAGCUGCAGCCAGCGGCUGGAAGAGCUGGUGCAAGCGAGAUAUCGGGAUGGCAGGCAAAUCCACCAUCCGAAACGAGAAGGCGUGAAGCGUACGGAAAGCUACGGCGAGUACGGAAGGCAGUGGAGGAACUUCCAAGAAAAGUUUCUAACGUUAAGUAUAUAUGGCCCGUACCGAAAAUGGACACACAUGGGUGAGGAGAGAAUCCUAAGGUGAGCGAGAGAACUAUAGCUAAGGAACUCUGCAAAAUGACUCCGUAACUUAGGGAGAAGGAGUGCUCAUAGAGAUAUGAGCCGCAGUGAAACGGCCCAAGCGACUGUUUACCAAAAACACAGCUCUCUGCUAAGCCGCAAGGCGAAGUAUAGGGGGUGACGCCUGCCCGGUGCUGGAAGGUUAAGGGGAGGGGUUAACGCAAGUGAAGCCCUGAACUGAAGCCCCAGUAAACGGCGGCCGUAACUAUAACGGUCCUAAGGUAGCGAAAUUCCUUGUCAGGUAAGUUCUGACCCGCACGAAAGGCGUAACGAUUUGGGCGCUGUCUCAGCUGUAGACUCGGUGAAGUCUUAGUACCUGUGAAGAUGCAGGUUACCCGCGACUAGACGGAAAGACCCCAUGGAGCUUCACUGCAGGUUGAUAUUGGGAUUUGAUGCAGCAUGUACAGGAUAGGUAGGAGGCAAAGAGAUGGAUACGCCAGUAUUCAAGGAGCCGCUGUUGGGAUACUACCCCUGUUGUAUUGGAUUUCUAACCGGACGACGUAGAGCCGUUGACGGGACAGUGUCAGUCGGGCAGUUUGACUGGGGCGGUCGCCUCCCAAAGAGUAACGGAGGCGCCCAAAGAUACCCUCAGCUUGGAUGGAAACCAAGCGCAGAGUGCAAAGGCAAAAGGGUGUUUGACUGCGAGACCCACAAGUCGAGCAGGGACGAAAGUCGGGCUUAGUGAUCCGGCGGUGCUGAAUGGAAAGGCCGUCGCUCAACGGAUAAAAGCUACCCUGGGGAUAACAGGCUGAUCUCCCCCAAGAGUCCACAUCGACGGGGAGGUUUGGCACCUCGAUGUCGGCUCAUCGCAUCCUGGGGCUGAAUUCGGUCCCAAGGGUUUGGCUGUUCGCCAAUUAAAGCGGUACGCGAGCUGGGUUCAGAACGUCGUGAGACAGUUCGGUCCCUAUCUGUCGUGGGCGCAGGAAAUUUGAGAAGAGCUGUCCUCAGUACGAGAGGACCGGGAUGGACGCAUCAAUGGUGGACCAGUUGUCACGCCAGUGGCAUAGCUGGGUAGCUAAAUGCGGAAGGGAUAAACGCUGAAGGCAUCUAAGUGUGAAACCCACUUCAAGAUGAGAUUUCCCAUUGCGCAAGCAAGUAAGACCCCUUAAAGACGAUAAGGUAGAUAGGUCAGGAGUGUAAGCAUGGUGACAUGUUAAGCGGACUGAUACUAAUAGGUCGAGGGCUUGACCG
rnacentral:rRNA from 1 species